GCGCCAGACUCCUACGGGAGGCAGCAGUGGGGGAUAUUGCACAAUGGGGGGAACCCUGAUGCAGCGACGCCGCGUGGGUGAAGGAGUAUUUCGGUAUGUAAAACCCUAUCGGCAGGGAAGAAGCAAGACGGUACCUGACUAAGAAGCCCCGGCUAACUACGUGCCGGCAGCCGCGGUAAUACGUAGGGGGCGAGCGUUAUCCGGAUUCACUGGGUGUAAAGGGAGCGUAGACGGCCAAGCAAGCCAGGGGUGAAAGCCCGGGGCCCAACCCCGGGACUGCCCUUGGAACUGCUUGGCUGGAGUGCGGGAGGGGCAGGCGGAAUUCCUGGUGUAGCGGUGAAAUGCGUAGAUAUUAGGAGGAACACCAGUGGCGAAGGCGGCUUGCUGGACAGAGACUGACGUUGAGGCUCGAAAGCGUGGGGAGCAAACAGGAUUAGAUACCCCUGUA
rnacentral:rRNA from 1 species